GAGAGAGACGCGACUGUUGAGUUUUGCUGAGAACGAUUGAGAGAGACGCGAUUGGAAACGAUUUUGAGGGAGACGAGUUCGGGAGAGUGGUGUGGUACAGAAUGAGAGCGAUGGAGAGUUUGAGAGAGGAAGAGUUCAGUUCAACGACGCUAGCUUUUUCAUUUUCUUUUUUUAUUAUUAGUUAACUUAGGAAUGUUUAAAAACCAUUUAACUCCAUUUAAGUGACCUUUGAGUAUUUCCAGUAGACAUUAACACAUCAUUUUGGUAUUCCCCAACCAUUAAUCUCUAAAACCCAACAGUCAGGCGGCUGGGUUUUUUUGGGGUAAUCCAACAGUUUUUAUUAUUAUUAUUAUUUUGGUUUUAUUUUCUUUAAUUUUUUUUGUUCCAAUCCUUUCUGAUUUAUAAAGCCCAUUUGUCAUAGUAAAUAAUAACCAGUCAUGAAUGGCCUAGUGGAGAGAGGUUAGUUUCAUAGUCUUGAGUGGGGUGGGUUCAAUACUCAUAUGUAGCACUUUUUUAGCAUUUUAUUUCUUUUAGCAUUUUAUUUCUUUUAAUAUUUUUUAUGUUUAUGUUUUAUUAUACUCAUGGUUUCAUUAUUAUUUAAUAACACAAAUCUGUUUUUUUUAUUAUUAAUUUCAUCAUCCAUUCAAAACCAUUUUAAACUAUUAAAAUCACACUUUUCUCGAUUCAAUGUCGAGCCCAUUUUCAUACCCUUGUAAGUCGAUUGCUUUUAAGCAUCGCCAUCAAC
rnacentral:lncRNA from 1 species